AUUUUUAUAACGUAUGAAAAAAAAAAAAAAAAAAAAAAACGCGACGAGGAUUAUUGAGCAAUCAAUAAUUAUUAUUUCCAAGUUAUAACUGACUUAGCAAAGUCAUGUUAUUUAUUAAUCGAGAAACAGAAGCAGUUAUAUUUUAUUAGUGCUACUAGAAGUCGAGAAAUUAUUCCGACUGCAACGCAAAUUCAAUCUACGGAUUUAAUCUAGAUUCAUAUUACUGUAUUAGCAUCACCAAGGCAUGAGGAUAUAAUUCAUUUAUUCAUCAAUCUCAUUCUCAUACUUUACAAACUCUUAUAACCAAUUACAGUUUCACCUAUCAAUGCUAUGAAGUAGAUACAUGAAUAUGCUAGACAUAUAUGUAAGCAUACAAUCAUCAUUAUUUUUUUCCACUCCCUAAUGUCUCCUACACUAUACACGCAUAAUCUCCACUUCUCCACUCCACCAACUAUCUCCACCACCUUUUGCUUUCUUCCACUACAUUUUUUCUCACCACCCUUUCCACUCCACUAAUUCCACUACACCAAACUUUCCACCUACUCCCUUCCCCACCACACGCAAGAAUGCAUCUAACAUUCCAUUAUACAGGCAACAAUCUUUUCAUCAUCUUCAUUCUUCACUAAGGAACCGAAGAGCAGCCACGAGUUCUGCCAUAAGCACACUGCUCCGGCAGUGUUUUGCAAGGCGAUUCCAGCCAUCCAAAAGGUCCGGGCGACAGAAAGUGAAGCCGAAGAAGAAACGACUCCACGCCAGCUUUAAGAACAAUUGAGAAUGCCGCCUAAGAGAGGACGCCCUGUGAGAAACAAUAACAAUCGCAGAAACCGUAACGCUGUACCCGAAGAACCACAAGAUGCUCGAGGACAUAACCCAUCCCCUCCGCCUCCGACUAGGAGAGUCGAAGAACUCUUUUUAAGGCAAAAUCCACCUACGUUUGACGGAACGAGUGAACCGGCUGAAGCUGAGAUUUGGGUGCGUGCAAUGGAACGCAUUUUCAACUUUCUACGUUGUACUGAUGAGGAGCGCCUAUCUUGCGUCUCUUUCCAACUAACAGGAUCAGCUGACUUCUGGUGGGAAGCACGUCGAAAAAUUCUGACACCUGAACAAUGGGCAAGUUAUACUUGGGAAGAUUUUAAGACGGGAUUAUAUGAUAAAUAUAUUCCGAAAAGCUAUAGGAAGAAGAAAGAAGCUGAGUUCUACGAGUUGAAGCAAGGAAAUAAAUCUGUGGUUGAAUACGACAAGGAAUUCUGCAACCUGUCUAGGUUUGCUCCGCAACAAGUGGACACAGAUGAGAAGAUGGCAGAGAAAUUUUGUGCCGGUCUACGGUACGAAAUUAAGAUGGCUCUAGCAAGCCACGGAGGACUCUCAUACACGGAGUCUCUGAACAGGGCACUUGACGUUGAAGCUGCAAUGCCGUCGGACAAGUCAGCCCCAUUGUUGAUCUCAACGCCAAAUGAUCCACCAGUAGCCUCACAUACUCUCAAAGGGAAGCGCAAGUGGGACAACAACGAAGACAAUAUCAAUCAGACUAGUAAGAAAGUGUGGCAAGAAUAUGAACGGGCCGAACAGUUUAUUCAACCAAGGCACGAGGCACAGACUAACCUCGAGCGAACUAGGGGUAACCAAGGUCAGAAAGGAGUUUUACCUUGCCCAAAUUGUGGUAAGAUGCAUAGGGGUAUUUGUCGGGCUGGAACUAACGGUUGUUACAAUUGUGGCCAAAAAGGUCACUACUCCACGCAAUGCCCCAAUAGACAACGAGGUUCAGCAGUUGGGAACACCCGCACCCCCUUGCCAGCAAUACGUGGACACUUGCGAAAUCAGCCUCAAUCACAUCAGUGAAAAUCUUAUGGAGACACCGCAGACAAGAAAAGCUACGUGGGAGCUUGAAAACAAGAUGAAGGAAAAAUACCCCGAAUUGUUUUAGCAGAGAUAUGCAAAUUUCGGGACGAAAUUUUUGUUAAGAGGGGUAGUAUGUAGUAGCCCGCUCUUUUAUUUAUGAUAAAAACUAGUAAAUGCAAUUUUUUAUAAAUGAAUCCAGUUUAUGGUUCUGAUUUUUUUUAUCAGAGGCAGAGUUAUUAUUUUAGCGUUAUAUUUUUAUAACGUAUGAAAAAAAAAAAAAAAAAAAAAAACGCGACGAGGAUUAUUGAGCAAUCAAUAAUUAUUAUUUCCAAGUUAUAACUGACUUAGCAAAGUCAUGUUAUUUAUUAAUCGAGAAACAGAAGCAGUUAUAUUUUAUUAGUGCUACUAGAAGUCGAGAAAUUAUUCCGACUGCAACGCAAAUUCAAUCUACGGAUUUAAUCUAGAUUCAUAUUACUGUAUUAGCAUCACCAAGGCAUGAGGAUAUAAUUCAUUUAUUCAUCAAUCUCAUUCUCAUACUUUACAAACUCUUAUAACCAAUUACAGUUUCACCUAUCAAUGCUAUGAAGUAGAUACAUGAAUAUGCUAGACAUAUAUGUAAGCAUACAAUCAUCAUUAUUUUUUUCCACUCCCUAAUGUCUCCUACACUAUACACGCAUAAUCUCCACUUCUCCACUCCACCAACUAUCUCCACCACCUUUUGCUUUCUUCCACUACAUUUUUUCUCACCACCCUUUCCACUCCACUAAUUCCACUACACCAAACUUUCCACCUACUCCCUUCCCCACCACACGCAAGAAUGCAUCUAACAUUCCAUUAUACAGGCAACAAUCUUUUCAUCAUCUUCAUUCUUCACUAAGGAACCGAAGAGCAGCCACGAGUUCUGCCAUAAGCACACUGCUCCGGCAGUGUUUUGCAAGGCGAUUCCAGCCAUCCAAAAGGUCCGGGCGACAGAAAGUGAAGCCGAAGAAUAAACGACUCCACGCCAGCUUUAAGAACAAUUGAGGUUGAGCUGUGAUGGGCGAUGAAGUGUUGUUGCUGAGUGGAGUUUUUGUUGAACUUAAAGUAGGCUCAGAAAGGAUACAUGUCUUCAUACAUGUAUCUCAGUUAUGCAUUCCGCUGUAAACACUGAUUAUUUCAGUUACACCUUCCGUUGCAAACUCUGAUAAUGUUUUAGCCAAGCCCCUAACGAUGCCUUUUUCCUUUUAAGGAAUAUAACGCUUAUACAAGUUCGUUGAGUACCCUUUUUAUGCGAACUAUGCCUUUUUCCUUUUUAAGGAAUAUUUCACGCGUA